UGUCCCUGCCCGUGGCAGGGGGUUGUAACUGGGUGAGCUUUAAGGUCCCUUCCAACCCAAACCAGUCCGUGACUCUGAUUAAUACACCCGUUAAACUGCAAAGAGCCUUGGAGCCCGGGCUCUGGAGCUGCUGUGGGUGCGUUUGCUGUGGGAAGGGAUGGUCUUUAGGUGUUCGUGCCCUCUCGUGGUUAAUACCUGAAUCACCCAGCUCCAGGCUGGGUGGUGAGGAGGUGGCCAGCAGCAGGCAGAAGUGCUGGGAAUGUGCAGGUGUUUCCACUGGCACGAAGGAAACUCCCCAGUUCAGAGACUUUGCUGUGGUUUGGCCCUGACUUAAAGCUCAAAGGCAGGAGGCAGAAGCAUCACCACGAAGUAACUGCAUGUUUCCAAACAUAGGGGCUGUCGAUAAAUCCUUAAUCCCUGCAAAAUGAUUUAUUUGGUCCUGCUUAGCACUGAACUUUUAAAUUGGAAUGCUUAGGGCUGUUAAACCUGAAAGCUCAUUACCUCGCUCGGCUGUGUUAAUAGCUAUAAUCUUUUUAAUGGAAGCAACUUGGUUGGAUGGGAUUUACCUUCCCAAAAAACCUUCUUGAUUGGCAUUAAAUACACUUCUGCUCUUUAAUUCUUCCCCAAUUAAUGAAGAGCUGACAAAAGGAGCUGCUUUGCCUGCAGCACAGGUCAGGUCAGCUGGCAACUCCAGAGCUUGAAGCUCAGGCAGGAGGUGAAGGUUUCUCCCAAUCCUCUGCCUUCUCUGAUGUUGGAAGCAUUGGGAAGCUUCUCCAAAAUGGGUCAGACUCAUCUGAUUGGGGUUUAUCUGAAUCUGCUGAUUUAAAUAUUCAUGCAGGACAGUAUUUAACACAGUGCUGUGGCUGUUCAGGGAGCACAGUGAGGUGUCACUUCAUGUUCUUCCAGUCGAGGGUGGAUUUAUCAGCUAGUACUUUGUAGUUUGUGCUUCAUUAGUAUUUGGUUUAAUCUCUGCUCCCUACCAAAGAGCUGGUUCUGAGCCUUCUUUUCUUGUUUAACAGCUAAACAACAGCAGUAGCAACAAAGGAAUAUGCAGUUUAUUAUUACAUUUUCCACUCAAGGGUUUCCCUUUCAUCUCUCAGUUCCCUUACAGUUCCCUGCAAUUCAUGUUUUCUAAUGAGUGUAUUCAUUUGUUGUCUGUAUCCCCUUGUUUUUCCCUUUAAAACACACAGGAUCUUUAAUUGCU